rnacentral:rRNA from 1 species
AUACGGAGGAUCCGAGCGUUAUCCGGAUUUAUUGGGUUUAAAGGGAGCGUAGGUGGGAUAUUAAGUCAGCUGUGAAAGUUUGGGGCUCAACCUUAAAAUUGCAGUUGAUACUGGUUUCCUUGAGUACGGUACAGGUGGGCGGAAUUCGUGGUGUAGCGGUGAAAUGCUUAGAUAUCACGAAGAACUCCGAUCGCGAAGGCAGCUCACCGGGCCGGAACUGACACUGAUGCUCGAAAGUGCGGGUAUCAAACAGGAUUAGAUACCCUGGUAGUCCGCACAGUAAACGAUGAAUACUCGCUGUUUGCGAUACACUGUAAGCGGCCAAGCGAAAGCGUUAGGUAUUCCACCUGGGGAGUACGCCGGCAACGGUGAAACUUAAAGGAAUUGACGGGG